UCUUAAAUCAUUACGGUUCACAUAUAUAAUCAAAUAUACCAACUAGUAUUCACUUCGAUACUUAUCCCUGAUAAUUCUUCAAAAGAAUGUUAAAUCUACCAUAAUCUUAUACCUCAUUACUAGACUAUCACUUAUAGUCUAUCACAUAAUUCAAGUUUUGUUCAACACUUUUGAAAUUCUUGGAAUUUCAUUACAUAACUGACAAUUCCAUACACUUAUUUCCUGUCUAGGUCCUAAUAUUGAACCUUAAAUCAAUCAAUUAUGAUUUUCAUAGAUUGUCUAAAUUCUCGGGUUGUCACAU
rnacentral:lncRNA from 1 species